rfam:Schistosoma haematobium scaffold430_49, whole genome shotgun sequence.
AUUCAGCUGAUGAGUCCCAAAUAGGGUGAAACGUGCGUCUUGGAU